rnacentral:rRNA from 1 species
UACGGGGGGGGCAAGCGUUGUUCGGAAUUACUGGGCGUAAAGGGCUCGUAGGUGGCCAACUAAGUCAGACGUGAAAUCCCUCGGCUUAACCGGGGAACUGCGUCUGAUACUGGAUGGCUUGAGAUUGGGAGAGGGAUGCGGAAUUCCAGGUGUAGCGGUGAAAUGCGUAGAUAUGUGGAGGAACACCAGUGGCGAAGGCGGCUCUUUGGUCUGUAACUGACGCUGAGGCGCGAAAGCGUGGGGAGCAAACAGG